rnacentral:misc_RNA from 1 species
GCAGUGCUAGUGCCGUACACGAUACACAAACUCUGCGCGCCACAAUGCAUGCAUGCAUUAUCCGUGAGCCACCGUGUUAGCAUCGUCCGUCGAGAAAAGAGCUACUUUUUCGUUCCGUUGUUUUGGACUUAAAUCCUCCCUCGAUGUGCCAGUUAACAGGAUUUUCCACCGCCCCUGUGUCAGCAUUUAUGGCGUUUGCUAAAAUCUCUGGAGAAUUCUGCCGAAGCCAGCACAAGUGAACUGUUGACGGAUCUUGGUUUUCGCAUACGAGGGACACUCUUACAAUUGCUACUGCAUUCCCUCAGAGGCGCCCUCGUUUGACACAAACCCAAACGACUCUGGACCCCCACCGACUCGUGAGGGUUCAUUGCCGCUACGACACGUGCAAUCUGCUCUUUGGAGGCCUCGCUUGCAUGCGCGGGCUUCACUUCAGCACAGCGGAAGCUGUCGCACUCAAGCUAAACUCUGGACGCCACGGAUGGGGUAAGGUGACAGCCGUUGACAGGGCAAAGGCCUGGGCCUCUCAAGGGUACCAAAUUGGGGAUUGGUCAGUUAGGGGAGCUGGCUACUGCGGACUCGCUUUCCCAAAGGUCAAGAACAAGCCAAAUCGGUGAGAAAGAGCACCUAGAGAGCUUGCUUCUAGGGACCUCAUUCGUCAGCUGUGAGUGUGUGUGAGUACAAGAGGAUACUUGCCUUGGAAGUUUGUGUCCAACAUCCCCCUCCCCCAGAGUUGUUCUUUUCUUCGUCUGUCGUCGUGGUGAUCCUAUGAGGAACUACACUAUCAACAUGGCAAGAAGCGUGCGUCCAGCACCCGUAGAAAUCAUCUACAAGCAUACACGAUUUCUCAUCAUCCACAACCCUGACAAGAAUGGCAUGGAUUACUUCAUCAAGGAAUUGAAGAAGAGAGACAUUGUGGAAGUGGCGAGAGUUUGUGAGCCCACCUAUGAGACCAAAUUACUGGAGAACGAAGGGAUCCAAGUCCUGGACUGGGCCUUUGACGAUGGCGGUGUGCCUUCUAACGAUAUUAUUGAGAAGUGGUUGGAUCUUGUGAAGAAGCGUUUUAGUGAGACCCCGGGGAGUUGUGUUGCUGUGCACUGUGUGGCAGGAUUAGGACGUGCCCCUUUGUUGGUUGCUGUGGCAUUGAUGGAGGCUGGCAUGGGUUACGAGGAUGCUGUCACCUUAAUCAGAGAGAAACGCCGUGGUGCCAUCAAUGCUAAACAACUGGCCUUCCUGGAGAAGUAUCGCUCCCGCAUGAGACUAAAACACAAGAAAAACAACAAAGACCAGUGCUGCGUUCAGUAAAUGUUAUCUCCAAAACUGUCACCCCAAGAGAGAAAAAAAGAGGAAAGUAAAUCAUCAGGACAGGAGCAACAUUCAGUACCCCACUAAAGCAUUUGUUAAUUUAGGAAGGGAAUUGUUUCUUCUCAUGAACCAAAAAUAUUAAUUGAUUUUGCAUUAUAUUGUUUACAGGUUGAUAUAAUGUACAUGUAUACUUAUUCAUAUGACAUGUGUAUGUACUGAAGGAUUGCCUUCCUUUUCCUGAAUACUUUGAAUGGUUUUGCCACAUUUUGACCCAUGCUUAAUUGUCGUUUUUCUUUGAAUACAACCUGCUUUCCUUAUAGUCAUGGAUUUUUGCAGAUUCAAGGAAGCUUUGUAUUAAAAAAAAUACAUGGAAAUGAAGGAUCAAACCAUAAAACUUUCUAGUAAUGGACAUUAUUUGUUCCCCAGAACAUUGGAAAAUGAAAUUAGUUUUGCUUGGCAUUGCCUUGUUGCUUUGGAUACCUGGUGAAUGUGAAUGACCCCAGGUUAUUUGGCAUUGCCUUGUUGCUUUGGAUACCUGGUGAAUGUGAAUGACCCCAGGUUAUUUGGCAUUGCCUUGUUGCUUGGGAUACCUGGUGAAUGUGAAUGACCCCAGGUUAUUUGGCAUUGCUUUGUUGCUUGGGAUACCAGGUCAAUAUGAAUGACCCCAGGGUAUUUGGUAUGCAUAUGUCAUGCUAGAAGUUACAUGUCCAUAUUUAAUUUCACACUUCACUGAUUUUCAGGAAGUGAAUGACGCUAUUUCAAAGGUCACUACCUAAAUAUCAACUAGACAUUAAUUAUUUGUCUGUUUUAUCAGUUCUUUCUGUUGGAAUUUUUUUUUGUUUUAGCUAAAUGAUUAGUAUUCUGUUUGUCACCCAGCAAUAUGUCAAUAAUGGAUGCACUUGUUAAAAAGUAGUCCUUGUGUGUGACGUGAAGACUGACCAGUCUGACGUGUGUUUUCCCCUAUUGACGUGGCAGCUCAUAAGACAACAUUUUGAUGUAAUAUUUUUUUUUUGUGGGGGGGGGCUGGGAGAUUUGUAGAACUGCUCCUGUCACAGCUGGAAAAAAGUUGAAACUUUGGAGAAAAUGUGCCCAAGAAACACUUCCUGGAUUUGAAAUGUUUGGCAAAGCUAACACGUUCUAAACAAGUUUGAGGGUAGGUUCAGACUUUGGAACAAAAGGACUCCUUCGCGCCAAUAGACUUAUUGUUUUGAAAGAGGGCUUCAAAAGUAACAUAUUUAUUUAUUGAUCAGUGUAAUACAGUACUACACCUUCCGUUGUUUUCUUAUAUUGAUCAUUUCUUUUAAAUAGAAUUAGGUUGAGAUUUUAUCUCCCUGAAUUUCAAAUUUCUGAAAUCACUCAUUUAUUUUGAGAACUUUGUUUGGCUUUCACAUUUGCACAAAUUUCCAACUGUUAGAUUUUGUGAUUAAUUAUUUAUAAUUUGUUUUUGUACAAAUUUAUGAAUUAUUUCCAGCAGCAUCUAGAAUUCCAAUAUUGCUCUGAGAGAGUAUGCAGUGGUUGUGAUUAGCAAACAAUUGCAUCCAGAAACAUGUAAAUCUUAGUUGAGUAGCCAUGCUGUAAUUGUCAGAGCAGAAAUGUCAAAUGUCAGGUGUCAAAGUUCAGGGUCAUGUGAGAACUGAGAAAUAAUAUCUCAGUGUACAUGGACAUGUGUGGGACAGUGUGGGUUGGAACUGACCUAUCGCUGUUUGCGAGUUAGCCACUUUUGGUAGACAAAUCUAUCAUAUAAUGUACUUUAUGUUUUUACUGUCUCCGAUUUUGAAUGUCCUGCAUCCACUUUGUAUUGGGCUGUAUUUCACAAGCUGCGUUAACAUAAUUUUGUUACGAUGCUCGUUUGCCAAGUCAAUUGAAAAUUAUAAUAUUCCUGGUUUUAUUUAUUUUUAUCUCAGCUUUUUUUUUGAACCAUUGAAUAGUCAUGUUGCUCCAUUUCAAGUCAGUUGACCUCAUACUUGCUGACCUUUGACUUUAAAGCAAGCUGUGGAUUCAGUUGAAAUGAUUUGUAUCGAAUUAUUUUGUUAACGUUUAUUGCACUGUUCUGUAAUUUUAGUGAGUUAUGUUCUUUUCUAGAAAGGUCUACAUGUAUGCUUGGUAGAGACUGCACACCUUGGCAUUUUUCAGGAAUUUUUUCUUUUCCCUUUUGCACCAUCGUAAACAAUGAAUUUUUAGGUUUUGGAAGUUUGUACUAAUGUACAAGCAAAGCCACUUUAAUUUGGUGCCAAUGGGAUGAAUUGUUGGAAUUGUAUCUUGAUUAUAUUUUCUGCAUGAUCAUAAACUGUGAUGUAAAAAUGUUUUUAAUAACACAUUUAUCAAAAAAGAAAUGAAUUUGUGGAAAAUAAUUUCAUGGUGAAACAGGCUGAAGUUAGUAGAACUGCAGAAUAUCUCAUUUGAAAACCAAAUCAGAAGUUUGAUUAGUACAUGUAAGUAGUUAAAUUGUGAUACUUGAGUAAUGACUGUUUGUCCGCUAACCCUUACUAACAACUGAAAAAACUGAAGAAAAUGCCUUUGACUCUUACCACUGGACUAGCAGUUUAAUGAUGGACAAAGUCUAUUUUUCACACUGCAUUUGUACUCUGAAAGUGUGCUUUUAAAUAACUAUUUUUAGGUGCUGAAAUUUCAAUGCCGUUAAAUUUGAUAUGUCCCUUCGUCUUGUUGAUGUGCUCAACGCCAAAGCCGUGUGAUAGAGUUGUAGUAAAUACCUCAAGUAGACUGUGAUAUUAAUAACUAUCUUGAAAGGCAAAGGUAGAAAAUCCCGAGUAGAAUGUGAUGUAUAGUGUGAGCGUUGUAUUCACUUUCUACUAACAAAGUGGUGGUGUAACUUUUCAGAUGUUUACUGUGAAUGAAACAAACUGGUGUUGGAUCUGAGACUGUUACCCACAACAUGUUUGUGAUAAGCUGUGUUUUUACUCAUCCCCAAAAAGAUCAAUUGUUGCUCUUUAGACCCACGCAGUCACUUCAAAUUUCAAGCUGCUGUAUGAUUUUCAACUCUACUAGGUAGCCAUCUUGAAAUGUCUCAAACGCAAGUUGCAUGGAAUAGCUGAUACCUUUACCCUUGCAUUGUAACAUGUACCAAGGAUUUGGGUACUAGACCAAGGUAUAGCCAUCAGCAGGUAGUUCUGAUUUUGUUUCACAAGAUUUUUCUUUAGUUCCAAUCAGUGAACUUUGGUGAACUUCAAGUCACAAUUACUGUAACUAUACUCAUGAUUAGUCACGUUGCACAUUUUUUCUAUUGUGAUUGAUUGCUUAAAAUUCUGGACACUUGUUUUGUCAUUAUUUUGAUUUUGACAAACUUAGUUCAUUUUUCCCAAAGGGUGUGAAUUGUUUUCUAGUCCGUUAUUGGUACUGAUAUUCAAACGACUUGGUUUUGGUGUGCUGGUGUCCAGUUUGUAGUCUUUUUUAUGAAUAUUCAUUUUGACAAUCCAACAUGCCACUUGCUUUUCUUCAAUAAUAUCACUCAGAAUAUGAGAUCAGUGCUUAAUGAAACUAAAACGGUUAAGGUGAAGUUGUACUUUGUCUUGUCAGUAUUACCACUGAGUUCUUUGGCGAAUUAAUAUGCUUAAAUUCCUGUCGAGAAAUCUGCAGGCAGCCUUCAAGUUUCAGAGGAUUAGGGCAUUAACAGACAUUAUUAGUUUUUCUGUCAAUUUGUUUCUUCCAAUUGGUGUUGUUGCUAUGGGGAGUGUCUGAGUGCACAUUUCUGAAGAAAUUAAUUUGCAUUAUAAUGUGCUUUACCCCUGAAAAUGGAAUAAUUUUGACAAAAAUACAAUCUCAACAAGGUUGACUUGAGUUAUCCCUCACCAAUAUUACAUUACUAAAUUUUGAACAGUGAAAAAUUUGUCUAUGAAAUCUGGAAAAAAAUUAAUGCCAGGUUUUGUUGUGUGCCCAAACAAGGUACAUGUGUAUGAUUGGAGUGUAUGCCUUGAUGUCAUUAGGUUUGUUGACCAAUGUGGAAUUUGCACAUAAUUAUCUCCUAUAAGAGUUGCUGCUCGUCCCCAUUACCAGAAAUAAAUCUUAUUUGAUUAAGUUAAAUAAAA